AUUGAACGCUGGCGGCAUGCCUUACAUAUGCAAGUCGAACGGCAGCACGGAAGCAAUCCUGGUGGCGAGUGGCGAACGGGUGAGUAAUAUAUCGGAACGUGCCCAGUAGUGGGGGAUAACUGCUCGAAAGAGCAGCUAAUACCGCAUACGACCUGAGGGUGAAAGGGGGGGAUCGCAAGACCUCUCGCUAUUGGAGCGGCCGAUAUCAGAUUAGCUAGUUGGUGGGGUAAAGGCCUACCAAGGCAACGAUCUGUAGUUGGUCUGAGAGGACGACCAGCCACACUGGGACUGAGACACGGCCCAGACUCCUACGGGAGGCAGCAGUGGGGAAUUUUGGACAAUGGGCGCAAGCCUGAUCCAGCAAUGCCGCGUGCAGGAAGAAGGCCUUCGGGUUGUAAACUGCUUUUGUCAGGGAAGAAAUCCUCUAGGUUAAUACCCUUGGGGGGAUGACGGUACCUGAAGAAUAAGCACCGGCUAACUACGUGCCAGCAGCCGCGGUAAAAC
rnacentral:rRNA from 1 species